CCCUUAGAUGUUCUGGGCUGCACGCGCGCUACACUGAUGCACUCAACGAGUUUACACCCUUGCCUGGAAAGGUUGGGUAAUCUUUUGAAAAUGCAUCGUGAUGGGGAUAGAUUAUUGCAAGUAUUAAUCUUCAACGAGGAAUUCCUAGUAAGCGCGAGUCAUCAGCUCGUGCUGAUUACGUCCCUGCCCUUUGUACACACCGCCCGUCGCUCCUACCGAUUGAGUGGUCCGGUGAGGCUUUGGGAUCUGAGCGGAAAGAGCGUUUCGCUGUUUCUGCUCGGAAAACUCAGUCGAACCUUAUCAUUUAGAGGAAGGAGAAGUCGUAACA
rnacentral:rRNA from 1 species